rnacentral:rRNA from 1 species
ACUGAACGCUAGCGGGAUGCUUUACACAUGCAAGUCGAACGAGUGGCGGACGGGUGAGUAAUAUAUCGGAACGUGCCCAGUAGCGGGGGAUAACUACCCGAAAGAGUGGAUAAUACCGCACACUAUUGGAGCGGCCGAUAUUGGAUUAGUUAGUUGGUGGGGUAAAUGCUCACCAAGGCAACGAUCCGUAGCUGGUUUGAGAGGACGACCCGCCAAACUUGGACUGAGACACGGCCCAGACUUCUACAGAAGGCAGCAGUGGGCGAUUGUGGACAAUGGGAGAAACCCUGAUCCAGCCAUCCCGCGUGUGUGAGAAGGCCUUCGGAUUGUAAAGUACUUUUGGCAGAGAAGCGGUAUCUGCAGAAUAAGCACCGGCUAACUACGUGCCAGCAACCGCGGUAAUAC